rnacentral:misc_RNA from 1 species
GUUUUCGCGUUUCGGUUGUGCGCUUCAGCCAGACGGGGGGGUUGGGUGCCGGGAGGGCGCCGCGCGGCCGCGAGCGGCCCCGCAGAGCGCCCUCCCAAGCAGCAGACGCGGUCCGCAUCGGUGUGUUAUCAAUGAGAUUCGGUAAUGAUCCUUCCGCAGGUUCACCUACGGAAA